rnacentral:rRNA from 1 species
AAUGUAAUGUAUACAACGUUAAUGCAUCAAAUCCCAUUAGAAAUUCACAGUUAAGCGGGCUUGGGCUAGAGUAUUACUAGGAUGGGUGAUCGCCCAGGAAGUCCUAGUGUUUUACAUAC